UACGGAGGGUGCGAGCGUUGUCCGGAAUCACUGGGCGUAAAGGGCGCGUAGGCGGCCCGGCAAGUCAGUGGUGAAAGCCCGAGGCUCAACUUCGGGUCGGCCACUGAUACUGCGGGGCUCGAGUCGACUAGAGGCAGAUGGAAUUCCGGGUGUAGCGGUGGAAUGCGUAGAGAUGCGGAGGAACACCGAUGGCGAAGGCAGCCCCCUGGGCUGACACUGACGCUCAGGCACGAAAGCGUGGGGAGCAAACAGG
rnacentral:rRNA from 1 species